AAUAUUAAAACUUCAAAAACCUUAUUUUUACAAUGCAAUAAAGUUUUACAAAGUUGUCCCAUUGUAGGCAGACCUAUGCCAACCUACUUGUAAAAGUCCAAGGAAGCUGAGAGGACAAAUAAUGUGGCUGACAUAUACAGUUCCUCAGAAAGAAACAUAUAAACAUAUAAUGGGCAUUUACAAUCAGAAGCCAUGUCUGUUUCUUAGGGAGCAGCAAAACAGGAUGGUGAGUCUGCAUGCUAUUGUGGCCCAGACCCAAGGAAAGAAUAUAUGUGCUUCAGAAGGGGUGUAUAGGACAGUUGCUUAAAGGUAGGAUUAAUUGUAAGUAUGAUAACAUCAAAGUUGUCUUUACCCAAGGGCAGGAUUCACAGUAAGUACAUGCUCUUACACAAGGAAGAGUAGAUAUAGCAGAAAUCUUAGAGGGCUUCUCCAAACCAGUGUUAAUCAGAAGUCAACAUGAUGGAUUAGUAUCCAAGAUGGAGUUGCUUUAGCCUUCACAAAAGUAGCUACUUAGGUCAAGACAUCAGCACACUUAAAACCUUGCUCAUGCCUCCAUUCAGUCAUUAAACGUCUCAAGGAAAUGAUAUUUUUACUUCUAUCAUCAUGCUAUGGCUUGAAUGUCCCCUCCAAAAUUCAUGCUGAAAUUUAAUUGCCAUUGUAAUAGUGUUGAGAGAUGGGACCUUUAAGAGAUGAUUAGGUCAUAAAGGCUCUGUCCUCAUGAAUGGAUUUAUGCUGUUAUUGCAGGGGUAGGUUAGUUUUCUUGAGAGUAAUUUCAUGAUAAAAGGAAGAAGUCUGGCCUUCAUCCUCUCUGACUCAUGUACUUGCUUGCCCUUCUGCUUUCCACCAUGGAAUGAUGCAGCAUGAAGGCCUUUGCCAGAAUUAGGUGCCAUGCUCUUGAACCCCUCAGCCUCCAUAACUGAAUCUAGCAGCCCAAAGGGACAUUGCAAAUAGUAAAGAUGUGGGCUACGGAACAGCAGGCUUAAAACUCCCUAUCAAAGUGGGAAAUAAAAGGUCAUUCUCAAAGUGGCAGCCAAAGAGAUAUACUAACAAACAACAUUGAUGAGAAGGAGAUUCUGUUAAUAGGAGGAAGGAAAAGCAUCAAAGGCCCCCAAGUCUCAUACAGGGCUACUCCUUCAACCUGGGUUCCAGAAGGAAGAAGACAUGGAGCAAAACUGUAUGGACAAUGUAAUGUGAACAAGAAAUAAAGCAUCAUUUUUGUAAUAAUUUGCAGGGAAACUCAUGUUAAUGUUAUUCCACUAGACUAAAUCACCCUCCCCACCAAUUUGGCUGAUUUAUUCAGGCCCCAGCUGUCUGACCCAUGCUUCAAGUGCCAUCUCUUAUAAGAAGUCUUCAGUGAUUCCUCUAGCUAAACGUAAUCCUACCUACUGCAUAGAAUUGUUAGGAAGAGUAAAGAACAAAUUUAUCAUUCAUUUUUCCAGACACUGGACAUACACUAAUCAAGAAAAAGACAAAAAAUCUCUCAUGAAGUUUACAUUAUAGUGAAAGAAACCAACAAUUAAAAAUAAUAUAUCAGCUGUGAAAAUAAGUGAAAGAAAGAUUUUCUUAUCUCCAACAUUUCUGGGAAGGGGUGUGUCUGUGGAUUUUAUGUUACUGGAAAGAGACAAUCCAGUAGUCCACUUUGUCAGGAGUGUUUCAAACAACAUCUGUGAACCCACUGGACUUCAAGCUCCUACAGGCUAGAGAUUUGGUCUAUUUCAUCUGCAUUGUGAAAGGUCCUGGAGACUGAGAAUCAGGAAUUACUAGACUAUAAUGGAUGAGAUUUAUAAAAAAUAAGAUGAAGGUAAGCAGCUGUGCACAGCUGCUCUGCUAUAUUGGGAGGAAACUAGAACAAAGACACAAAACAAGAGUUGCAAGGGUAUAUGUACAUGUUCUGCCUGUGUUUAAGAGCCUAUCUAUGUUGCAUUUUGAGUUAUCUUGCUGGAGGAUAAGUUUGCAAGUUUGAGGCAAAAAGGCUUUGUGCUCUUGUGGUAAGAUCAUCAGGGAACAGCUCUCUGGAGGUGGUGCAGUGCAUAAGAGAGAAACUGGCUAGUGGUGGAAAUAAUACACUCCUUGGAAAAAGUAAAAGGAAAAUGUAAAAUGGAGUCUACCUUCUGGAUGCAAAGAAAUUCUCAUCAUCACGUGAUAGCAAGAUAGAAAAUAUGGUGACAACAAAAUUUUGACCAUUUAUAAAUAAUAAGUGAACUUCCAAAAAAGAAGGGAAAUGUUUGGAGACCAAAAUUAAGAGAAGCCACAAUGGUUUUGAUAUCAGGAUGAUGCUGGCCUCAUAAAAUGAGUUAG
rnacentral:lncRNA from 1 species